UACGUAGGCAGCAAGCGUUGUUCGGAAUUACUGGGCGUAAAGCGUGCGCAGGCGGUGAUGUAAGACAGGUGUGAAAUCCCGGGCUUAACCUGGGAACUGCAUUUGUGACUGCAUCGCUGGAGUGCGGCAGAGGGGGAUGGAAUUCCGCGUGUAGCAGUGAAAUGCGUAGAUAUGCGGAGGAACACCGAUGGCGAAGGCAAUCCCCUGGGCCUGCACUGACGCUCAUGCACGAAAGCGUGGGGAGCAAAAGGG
rnacentral:rRNA from 1 species